AUACGUAGGUGGCAAGCGUUGUCCGUAUUUCUUUUUCUUAAAUCUAGCGCAGGCGGUUUCUUAAGUCUGAUGUGAAAGCCCCCGGCUCAACCGGGGAGGGUCAUUGGAAACUGGGAGACUUGAGUGCAGAAGAGGAGAGUGGAAUUCCAUGUGUAGCGGUGAAAUGCGUAGAUAUAUGGAGGAACACCAGUGGCGAAGGCGGCUCUCUGGUCUGUAACUGACGCUGAGGCUCGAAAGCGUGGGGAGCAAACAGGAUUAGAUACCCUGGUAGUCCACGCCGUAAACGAUGAGUGCUAAGUGUUGGAGGGUUUCCGCCCUUCAGUGCUGCAGCUAACGCAUUAAGCACUCCGCCUGGGGAGUACGACCGCAAGGUUGAA
rnacentral:rRNA from 1 species